GGGGAUUAAAGAGGACGGAGGGGAAGAACCGCCUGCGUCACUUUUGCUCCUUGGGGAAAAAGGCGGCAAUCAAUAACUGCUGAAUUGGCGCUUGCCAGGAAGUUCGGUUUUAGAUCAUGGGGUUUUAUUCCUUUACCAACGUUAGUUACUGUAUUAUGCCAGGAUAUUUGUGUUAUCCUCAACAGCGUUGAAUGUAUAAAUGGCCACUGCAAUUAUUCUAGAUCGUUUUAAGCUGUAGUGCAACUGUUGCAUUUUAUUUCCCUCUGAGUGUACAACUAACAUUCUCUCCCUGUAUGUGUGCAUAUACCAGCCAGGUAAUACUCCAUCCAUCUGAUUAAAUGGUCUCAAGUCCACACACAUACAUACAAAAACAUUUGCCUUUGAAGUGCCACAAGACACUGUUUUUGUUUUAAUUGGACUGAAAAUGCCAUCCCUAGAAAUAGUCAAGAAAUGUUCUUGGCUUCCCACUUCUGGGAGCUCCAGUGAUGAGCUGCAGGGGAACUGGUAAAUGGUUCAGCUUCCUGCUGGAUGAGGCCUUGGGGGGUGUGGUGUAGUGGUUAGGGUGCCAGAGUAGGACCUGGCGGCCUGGGGCUCAAAUCCCCACUCAACCAUGAAGCUCAGUGGGUGACUACAACAGGUUUCUUGUGGGGAUUACUGUGUAUGCCACCUUGAGCUCCUUGGAGAAAAAGGUGAGAUAUAAAUUAAAUAAAUAAAGGUGUGUAUUUACAAGUAUGCAGGUGGAGAAUGGUGGAUCAGCAUCUCACUAGAGCCCCCAAGGCAGUUGAAAAACCUGCUGCUGAUUCUCCCCAAAAUAUUUUCUAUGUAGCUUUCAAAUGCAGCGUAACCUUCCCAGCUGAUGCAAGAAUAUCCCGCUUGUUCAAUAAAGUUCUUUUAGCCAUCAGUUAGGAAACUUUAGAAUGAUGAUUGUCAACAAGUUCAUUAAAGUAUGCAACACAUAGUGCAUUGCCAAAUUUGUUUGCAAGCAAGUAGGCAAUGCAUGAGACUGUGAUGAGCCUAUUUAGUUCCUGCUGAGUUUGCAACAUUAUAAGCCAUUGUUGGGGAUAGCAUUGCGUUGUUUGUGGAACGAUUUUGCUGUCUUGAGUGAAAAGACAUAUGUGAAUUAGCUUGGAAGGGUCUAAACCCAUCAGGAGAAGAAUAUUGAUCUACUAGAGACUCGUAUAAGUUGCUAAGAAAUGUGCUUGUUUUGCUUGAUGGAUGGGACAGUAGCCUGAGCAGCAAAGGGAGCAUCACUGUCAAAAGAAACCUAGAAAUAAGUCAUUCACAAUGGGCCCCUAACAAACAUCUUUUUUAUUGCAUGGUCUUGAUGACUUGUGCCCAUGAUGCUAUUUGGGUUAAACCACAGAGCCUAGGACUUGCCGAUCAGAAGGUUGGCGGUUCGAAUCCCCACGACGGGGUGAGCUCCCGUUGCUCGGUCCCUGCUCCUGCCAACCUAGCAGUUCAAAAGCACGUCAAAGUGCAAGUAGAUAAAUAGGUACCACUCCGGCGGAAAGGUAAACGGCGUUUCCGAGCGCUGCUCUGGUUUGCCAGAAGCGGCUCAGUCAUGCUGGCCACAUGACCCGGAAGUUGGACGUCGGCUCCCUUGGCCAGUAAAGCGAGAUGAGCACCGCAACCCUAGAGUCAGCCAUGACUGGACCUAAUGGUCAGGGGUCCCUUUACCUUUACCUUAUAUUAUCCCACUUUCUAUACUCUUUGCACCGUUCUGUCCUUUAACUACCUGAUAGAAUCUCAUAACGUUUUAUAACACAAAUAUCAUGGGGCAGAAGGCCAGGGCUUCGUGCAGUAUGAUGACCCAGGGAGGCUGGUUGAGCACAUUUUGAAGUAGGAAAAAUAAUACCUGUUGCCACCUAAAGAGUGACACCCCUCAUAAGAUCAUUAAGUCUAGCAUCUAAAUUGAUCUAACUGUACCACUGAUGGUCCAGAUCACAGGUUUUGCUUGUGAGCACAGAGGGCUUCCUCGUGUGACCUGGGGCAGUGGAGGUGAUUUCACAGCCUGGCUAUGAUGGUCAAACGCCUGGCAUUGCUGCACACUGGGAAUUCCAUCCAGUCCUGCCUUGUUGAGAUUAGCAAGCCAUUGUUUUUUGUUUUUUUAAAAAAAUAUUUUUUAAAGGAUUUUCUUGUUUUACAGAAGUAAGUGUAGUGCCUCGUAUUUUUUUUCCAUGUAACAUUUUUACAAAUCCGUUUCAUUUGUUGAGGCAUUAGGGGGAGAAGAAAUAAAAGAAAAAAGAAAGGGGGGGUGGAGAGAGGGAAGAUGGAUGGGGGUCUUCCAAGACAACAAUGCCCAUUUAGCAAGCCAUUGUUUUAUCAAUUUUUAUUUGGGAAUAAAACAUGCAUGAGCCAGGAGACCUGCCAUCUUCAGAAGGGCUUUUCCUCAACUUCAAGGAUUAAGGACCUUACUUUAACAAGUCACUUAAAUCAGCCUCUGCUUAAGAGCCUAACUGUGAGAAUAAAGCAGCACUUCACAUCUGCUCAGGGGUGGCUGUCUCUGAAUAAAGUAGCCGCCUUCUUCCCCCAAGACCCAGGGGAAAGCUAAGAAAAUGCAGAUCUAAUGGGUCAAGCUGGGGUUGGUUUGAUAAUACAGUUCAAUUAAUUUCUAACAAUCUUUGCCACAGAUAGCUUGCAAAAAUGACAAAGAACUAGAAAUACAGUAUAAGCAAAGAUACAUUGAAUAUAAUUUUUCUAUCAAACAAACAGAAAGCAACAGCACUCAAGACUUGCUGAUUCUGUGUUAUUCUUUAUGUCUUGCUGUUUUGGUUGUUCGUUGAGUUGGUGUAAUUAAUUGCUUUUAAUUAUUAUUGCUGUAUUCUGUUUUAUCAUGUUGUGCACUGCCCCGUGCUUUGUGAGAGGCAAUAAAUAAAUAAUAACAAUAGUAACAGGGAUAGCUUGUGCCAAUGUCUGAUAAAGAAGGAAAAUUCAGAACAAAGGCCUGCUUCCAGGCCCCUGGCCAUUUUCCGUUCAUACACAUUUGCUUAUUUAUGCUGCUGCAUGUCACCCCACACCAAAGUGCUCUGGGUGGCUUAGAAUAAAUGUACACAAAUGAAAGCUGAUGCACGAUUCUUCCCAAUGAGGUUUGUUAUUAUUUAUUAUAAACCUGAUCUUCAUGUAUUGGGAAUCAAUGUAGAGGUUUGAACAUUUGUAGGUAAUGAACACUAUAUAUGUCUUGUGGAAAAGCAAACAAUUAUGCAGUUUGCAAGUGAUGGACACACACUUUUUAUUGUAUGAAUAUGAUCGCCAUUUAGAAAAAGUGUCACAGGCAAGACUGCACACUUAGAAGGGACAUGGAUCCCUUUGGACUUUGGAGACACACAUUCCAGCUGCCCAUGAUUAGCCCCUACCUUAAAGCGGGUGUCAAGAGAUUCUUCUGUCUCCAUGCAUAAUUCUGACCUCCCUGUUGAGUGGGAGGUUGAGGUCAAUAAAACUCCAAUACCAGACCAGGCUGGCUCCCUACCUGCUAUAGAGCAGGCUACCUUCUUUCCUUUUGUAAGUGACCCAACUUGGAGUGUGUAGGUCUCUUCUUGGGCUUCUCUUAAAACUCUUUGCUACUCACAUGCAUUGCUAAAUUAACAAGAGCCUGCCUUAACUCAUCAGACUAGCCUUGAGUAUAGCUCCUUGUCCCAAUCCAGCCUGAAUUGCCUUCCUCAUCGCAGCCCAUAGAAAUAGGCGGCAGAGAACCCUCUUCCCAUCCCUGCUGUUUUAUCAUGCGCUCUGCUAACAGCCCAUUUAUCAGAAUGAUGAAGGGGGCUCUCUGGAGAGAGGACAUGGCUCAGGCAGUGCAAGUGUGAAUGACAGUCCGUCUGCAGAAGAUUGACGUUAAUGAAACUUGGAAUAAACAGGAAGAUGAAGAGGGUGGAGAAGCCAGCCAGGGAGCUCGGCUCAUUCUGCAAGGGAGAAGGAGCUCACUGUACCAUCCUGGUUGGCUUUCAAUUUGCAAAAGCUGCCUGUCCUUUUGUUGCAAAAUAGCAAGAGCCAUGAAGGCUCCUCUGACUUGAAGCUGCCUGGGCUCUUUACACCUGGCCUAGAUGUCUGGAACCUGGUGUGCAUGUAUGCCUAUACCAGCAUAUGGGACAAGCACGCAAGGAACGAGAGGAGGAGGGAAAUUCGUCACUACUCCUCAGGUUGCCCUUGCUCCUCACCCAUCUCAGAUGCAGGUGGAUUCCACUGUUAUUAUUUAUUACACCUGUUCAUCAACUUUACAAAGUCUCAAAGCAAUUUUUACAAAAAUUCUAGGAUGGCCCAGUCAAAUCUGGAUGGUUGAUGGGUAUGAGUUGUCAGUUCAGCUCAUUCAUUGCCACACCUGCUUUGGUUGUAGGCUGCAGGGAACAUCCACAAACUGCGAUUGGAAAACUGAGGGAGGGCAAGUCUCUUCCCUGUAUUUUCCACCCAUGCUAGAUUAUCACAGGUUGACACCUGCCCUUUCACCAGCACCAACAGCAGUUGCUGUGGAACCUGGCCUUAAUGAGCUGACUUAUUACAUGGUUGUAGGUGUGAUCCAGGAAAACCACAGAAAACUUAAAAUGCAAAACUCCUGUGAUAUCCUGUGUUUCCAGGCUUGAAAGUAGAUUCCCCACCACACCCCCAACAUAAGUGCUAAACUCUGAUUAGAUUUCCAGAACAAAAAUUGAUAGGUAAGGCAACAAGGGGAAGACAAUAGAAAGCGUCUGAAUGCAGCCUUAGUCUUUUUUUAUCCAUUUCCCCCCGAAGAGAAGCUGGGAGGCCUGUACUUGUAUCUGUAUGGAGGGGUGGAGUACAAAACAGGAAAACCAAGAAGAAGAAAGAUUAACUUCCUCUGUCUACUUUUUGUUCAGAGCCCAGUAGAGGCACAGAUCUCUCAUUUUAUAAUUAACAGCAGUUGCAAACUAUGGAGAGCCUAUGGAUAAGUUAAAAGUAAAUUAGGUUGCAGAUAUUUCUAACUGUCAGAACAUGUUUUCCCUUCACCUUAUGACUUCAGCUAGAGACAGAUACCCCUACUAUCCUUUCCCAAAUGGAAGCACUCUACCUUUUAUUUAUUGCACAUACGUCCCAUAUUCUUUCUCCAAGGAGCCCAAGAUGGCAUACACAGUUCUCUCCCUCUCUCCUCGUUUAAUUCCCACAACAAACCCGUGAGGAAGCUUAAUCUGAGAAGGAGUGACUGGUCCAAUGUAACCUAGUGGGCUGCAUGGCCAAAUGAGGAUUUGAACCCUGGUCUCCCAGGUCCUAGGCCAGCACUCUACCCACUAAACCACACUAGCUUUUGCCAGCUGCUUGGCAGUUGAAAUUACAGGUAAAGCUUUUUUUAAAAAGAUGUUGGCAAAAGCUGUACCUGCUCCCUUUCUCCUUACCACACACCUGCCAAUGGCCCAGAGCCAAGGUCAGAACGCAAAGUCUCAUCUUCUUCCAGCUGCUUCAAUGCAACAACCUGAGUUCACCAAGUAAUCUACCGCAGACCAGAGAAGAAACAUCAAGGUUGCAAAUCUGCAUUUUUGUCGGAAGAUGGCAGUAGAGCUCAAAGGAAUGGAACCUGGCUGAUAUGGGAGAGCUUUGGGAAUUUUUCUGGAACUCCUCUGAGGGCAGGAGGGGUUAAGAAGCUUGUCUUCUGUUUAUAGCUAUCUUUCUUGACAACAAAGUACAGCUUUCCUACAGGCAGUGACAGGGAAAUGGUAUCAUUGAUUCUCUGUGUGUCCUUGUGGCUAGGAUUCUAUUUAGGAUGCAAAUUGCCAAUAGCAUUCCUAAUGCAGAGCCAUAGUUUAAAAAGAAUAGCUGUUUUUAAAUAAUUCAAAUAGAAAAGGCACUGAAUAAAGUGUUAAAUCUCCUUAAGAGCCAAAAUUUCAUGCAUUGUUAAUAGCAAGGCUCUCUCCAAAACUAUUUUCAACUUCGCUAAAUAUACACACAGAAUUUUUACACUCUGGAACCACUAUUGGAAACAGAAUUUACUAUUAGGUUUAUCAAGUAGGUCUGCUUCUCCAUAACAUCUGAAUCAGGAGAGACUAUGAAAGCUCUAGAUCACUGAAUGCAGUGAUGGACUGGACAGGGACCAAUAAACGACUUGAAUCUUAGGAUACCAGAGACUCAGAGUGGGAGGUUCCCAUGUCCAGGAGAUAGGCAUGUUCUGGAUGGAGUAGCAAUCUCUCUGAAGGAGCAAGUGCUUAACUUGGUGGUAUUGCCUGAUAUGUCACUAGAAGCCUAGGCGUCUGGUUUGCAACCAUUUCUGAGCAGAGAUAACUUGACCACUGUCUGGAUUGAGGCUGGAUUACUGUAAUGCACUCUAUCGUGGGGCUGCCCUUGGGCCUGCUUCAGAAGCUCCAGUUGCUGCAGAAUGUAGUAGCCAGAAUGCUGACGGGGGCAAUUGUGUAAUAACAGGCAGCACUACUGUUAAAUAAAUGUUUUCACAAGUUAGCUGAUUUAUAAUUUUAACUUUCUAAUGGUUUUCAUUGCAUGGUUAUAUGUACAAUAUGUUGUGAACCACUGAUGUUUUCUUUAUGAAUUAGAGGUAUAUAAGUAUUUUUUAAAAAAUUAAAAACAAAUCACUGAAAAGUAGGCUGGAGGACACCAAUGCUGCCCCAUUGAUUGUUGAAGUGGAAAGCAGACUAGGUGGCCUGGAAAAAGCAUGGAAUGUUGGCUGCAUUCUCCUAUAGGGUAGAACUAGUGUUAUGAACUAAGGACGAUGGCAGGCAGGCAGUAUUGACGAAAACAGUAAAACAAGUCUACAAACAGCCAGUAGAGAGCCCAACCUCAUGAUGAUGCAAAGUGGUGUAGUACUACAUAAGCAGGACUGGGGAAAGAAUGUUUUAAGAGGAGAUUGGCGAGUUGCAACUAGUGAGUUGCAGCAACACUACCAACAUACAAAAUAGUGUACCAAAUUAAAAAGUUGGUUCCUAAAUGCGUAUUUGGACUAAAGACAGGUCCUUGAUCUGAGAAAGUUGAGGAGCGCUGCUAUACAGCAUGUACAUCCAGCCUUUGAGACAUCUUGCUACUCAUGGAGAAAUAUGAACAGCACUCUGUAUUAUUCUACAUGAAUGGAAAUGGAAUUGAGGCAGGGCCUGAUAUUUGAAAUGAUGACGACAGAACUGGCAGUAAGCAUUUGAAGGCAGGUGCCAGUAUGAACUAUGAACAAGCAAUCAUGUUAAGAAUGUAGAACAUCAAAUCCUCCAUUCAGAGCCCUCGGGAAAUCCUGAUGAUUUGGUUUUUUUAAAAAAAUGCAAUGUCCUUGUCGUUGCAGUAAAUCACUUCAAAAAAAUUGCAGGCACGGUUGUUACAAAACCCAGGUCUAAAUUCUUACUCGGCCACCGAGCAGACAAUAUGACUUUAGAUACAUUUUCUUUCCCUGCAUCACAAAGCUAACUCUGGGAGCACUUGGAAGGUCUGGUUGGCGUACGUCUGUCUGGGGAGACAAUGGAGCACGCCUUUGCAGCUGAAAUCAAACUUUUGGAAGGUUGCAGCGCCUGCUGUGACUUAUAUGGGAGACACACGUUUUUUUGCAGCUGGGGCAGAUGGAGGCGUCCGGCUGCGCUGCUGCAGAUGCACCAUGGCCUUUCUUCUUGACACUCCUCCCAGCGGUCAUUUCUCCUUUGGUCACUGCUAUGGAUGCUCAGCUCGACACUGCAGGAGUCUGCAGGAGAUUCCCCCACAGUGGGGUUGAUGUUGGCAGACUUCAUGUCAUGUUUGCAGACACACACACACAACAAAUUCACAAAAGCUGGUAGGACUGGGUACGUGUUCCAAUGUGGGUCAAAAUCAGAUGUUCGGUCAUUGGGUCUGUGAAGAUGGAUCUAAAGUGGUGCUCCCAGAUAUUGUGCUGAGACACAAUGAUUUGGCGCUCAGGAUCAAGAGCAUAAACCUCUUGAAAGCGGCUGCUAGGUGGUUCAUUUAAGAGUUGUAUGCUUUUAGGAUCCACCCCAUUUUUGUGAUUGUACUUUGUUUUAGAACAGUUUGUAAUGUUGUAUUCUAGAUUAUUUUAACAUACUAUUACUAAUUAUUUACUGGAGUAACAACCCCCGAAUGUGGAUGCUAGAAUUAGCCCUAAUGGAAGAGGCACUUGCAGAGUAAAGCAUUAAACACUCUCCCUAAACCCAGAGGGAAGAUCUGUAAUCCAGAUUCAACUAUAAUUAGUUUUCUUCUCGUUGUAUUUUAAUUAUUUUAUAUUGAAAACUACAUUGAAGGACAGCCAUGGGCAAGUAAGCUGGUUGUAAAUUUUUGAACACUACAAUAUUUCUGGGCAUAUGAGAAUUGCCAUCUGUAGCCACUGGGGUUUCAGGGGAGUCUGUUUUAAUUCUAGGAAAUCAAGAUAAUGACACAAGUUCUUCCUGAUUUGUGAGGCUAUUUUUAGAUAAAAAUGAGGCUGGUGUGCUCUGAGCCUUUUCAGAAUUGCAUGAAGCCUCCCAUGAUCCCUCCACUGAAAUUUGGGCAUAUGCUAUGCCUGUGUGAGGUGCCACCACUGGCACUUGUCAGAAGAAUUAAAUCUAAAACAUGUUUACAGCUCUGCUCUAGUCAUCAGGUUCCCUUGAGCUUCAUGGCUAGAUAGAGUUCUUCUUCCUCUCUUGCUCUGUGAAGUAUUUAAUUUCUUUUUUUGUUUUAUGUGCGUACUUCUGCUUGCAGGUGCAGGCAAGGAAAAAAAAUCACCACAUCCAGAUGUUCUGAAACACCCAUCGCAUACACAAUUCAGAUUAAGG